rnacentral:rRNA from 1 species
UGCCAGCCGCCGCGGUAAUACGAACUGUGCGAACGUUAUUCGGAAUCACUGGGCUUAAAGGGUGCGUAGGCGGGUUUAAAGGUCUGAUGUGAAAGCCCACGGCUCAACCGUGGAAGUGCAUUUGAAACUGGAUGGCUUGAGUACUGGAGGGGGUGGUGGAAUUCCCGGUGUAGAGGUGAAAUCCGUAGAUAUUCGGAGGAACACCAGUGGCGAAGGCGGCUUUCUGGACCGAUACUGACGCUGAGACGCGAAAGCGUGGGGAGCAAACAGGAUUAGAUA